UACGUAUGGGGCAAGCGUUAUCCGGAUUUACUGGGUGUAAAGGGAGCGUAGGCGGCAGGGCAAGCCUGAUGUGAAAGCCCGGGGCUCAACCCCGGGACUGCAUUGGGAACUGCCCCGCUCGAGUGCCGGAGGGGCAGGCGGAAUUCCUAGUGUAGCGGUGAAAUGCAUAGAUAUCACACAGAACACCGAUUGCGAAGGCAUCUGACGAAUCGGAGAUUGACGCUGAUGCACGAAAGCGUGGGUAUCGAACAGG
rnacentral:rRNA from 1 species